AUAUAAAUACCUAAUAUCAGUUAUUCCGUAACACGCAUGCCACGAACGCCCACUAUGCUGCUGCAGCCGAGUCGUCCCAGUGUAUAAUGGGAAACAUUUAAAUAAAGGGGCUACUUGUAGCACAGUCUAAAUCUGUUACCUGACAGAAGGCGAUCUUUAUGAGAUACAAUGAAUUUGGGACUUUUGCCAUGUGCUCAUUCCACCACAGUUGACCCCUUUCUGUUUAAGUGCACCCACAUAUAUACUUUCUAAAGGAUAGAUAGGGCAUUCUUUUCUGAUACCCUAGAGUUAAACAUAACACAACAUUAAAAAUGAAUACAAUUGUAAAACUGGGGAAAGAGGAAAAAAGGAAAAAAACAAACAAAAG